AUAAAUUUUUCGAGGAUAGCCAUGCAAAAUGUAAACAAAGAUUCGAGGAUAACUUUUUGUCAAUAUAUUGUGUAUUGUCGUGUCUCGUCAUGUGUUUUCGGGAGUUCCUCUAUUCCUGUAUUUGCUCUUUUCUCUCUUGAUUUUGCUUUGCUUCUCUACAUGUCCGUAGACUCUUCGCGUUGUGUGGUGGUAUUAUGUUUGUGUGUAACAACGGAACUUUCGCUGCAAGGUUGGAGGGAGGGGGUGGGCGUCGAGUGUGUUGUUUAUCAGCUGUGAUCUGUGCGUGUGAAACUUUUUCAUUGUGCUGAAACGGGUGAGUAAGAGUAAGAUUAGAAACAGAAUGCCGUGUGCAUGUAUACCACAGCCUGAAGACUGAACCACCAGACUUGCUCAGAGCAGGAAUGAAGUACACGUAAUAUAAAUUGGAGCGUGAUUCAAAAAUCUGUUUGCUCUACAAAGUCGAUGAGUGCAUCUAAUCAGGUAAAUAUAAUUAUAUGCUUUUAUCCCAGAUAUCUGGCUUAUAGUUUUUUGCCUUUUAGUUCUGCAGCGCCAUGGUGAACGUUGGGAGGUGUUGGCACGGAAGACGGAGCGGGAAAAGGAUCACGAUAACUAUGAGGUGAGGAGGAUAUCAACGGAUUGUGCAUUUACAGUUAGCGGGUGAGCCCACGCUGUAUCUCGUAGGAGAACCUGGCCAUGGGUAUCGGAGAAUGCAUAUCAUAUGCCGGAGACGUGCUUGGCCUUAAACACUGACUCUGCUCGAUCACGGAUUCCAAAUUGGUCAUUACGUUACCGGCGGCUUGUCAGCAAUCAGCAUUGGGUGUUCUUUUUCCGUUCAGUUCUUCCUGCCGUCCUUCUGUGUAUAAAGUGCCUUCCAUUAACAUCUCCCGACAACAAGUUGGAGUUGCUUCUAGCACGGAUUAUGAUGGUGCUGUUGCUGAAGAGGAAUGUUUUGUUGCCUGGUUGCACUGGACAAGAUGGUUCACACAGUGUAGUCGAUCUCCUGUUGGUGUCGAUUGUAUACCGUUUCAGAGGUUUGAAGAGGAGUGAGGAGCUUCCUUACUACAAAGUUCUUUAUAUAAGGUGAAAAAGUGUACAAGGGCCAACCAUUUGGUGUUUGUACUCGAUGAUCCCUUCGAGCCGGAGGCCCAUCCCGACCGCUCAGUGCGAUAGUGUUAGGUGC